GACGGGGGGGGCAAGUGUUCUUCGGAAUGACUGGGCGUAAAGGGUGCGUAGGCGGGUCUUUUAAGUCAGGGGUGAAAUCCUGGAGCUCAACUCCAGAACUGCCUUUGAUACUGAAGAUCUUGAGUUCGGGAGAGGUGAGUGGAACUGCGAGUGUAGAGGUGAAAUUCGUAGAUAUUCGCAAGAACACCAGUGGCGAAGGCGGCUCACUGGCCCGAUACUGACGCUGAUGCACGAAAGCGUGGGGAGCAAACAGG
rnacentral:rRNA from 1 species